UUUGAGUAUGUACCCUUGCGGAUGGCGAGCAGCGGAGCGAUUGCACUUUGGUGCCAAACGGUGAUGAGCAGAGUCCACGGUAACACUAUCAACACGAUGGCAAGAAUGUCUCUUCUCUUCGGCAUCUCCAGGAUUGGUUUUAUGUCUCGUCAUUACCUGCCGGGAGAGAGGAGGAGCGACAAACAUGUCAACAUGGGCCGCUAGCUAAAUGAUCCACUCUACAAGAUGUGGUGGCUUGGCUGAGAGAACCACUAACUUAUUUUACCAUGAGGAAGGUCUUUUAGCACAGCAACAAAAUACCACAUCAAUUCUGUUUAUCUUCCAGGCGUAGAAAUACUCAAUUUAUACACAUCUUGUCAGGCAAAAUACAUAAACCCCAUAAAAGCCUUCCCCUGAUAAAGAAAUGGGUCAAGAAGACCCUUUCAUGCGUGAGUUUCAAAUAUCUCUAACGGUCGCCCCAGCGUGAGUUUUUUUUAUUCACGUGAUGUUAGAAUGUUCUCUCCAUUCCAGAAUGUGAUUGAAACGUAAACAGUACAUUUUUACCCACGCAGCCUGUUUAUAUUUAUAGGCUGUUUCAACUUCAAUUUCAAAUGAUUUUGUAACAAGUUUUUAUUUUCUAAAAACAGUUUGAAUUUAGGUGUGUUCCGCCUCCUCAUUCAUUCACAUAAAAAUAGUAAUUUUUACUUUUGCGGACAAUUACAUUUUUGGGACAUUUCUGACACGGACAAAAUUCCCCUAGCACUUCCCAAUUGUUUGUGCAGUUCACGUCUGCAAACAUUUCCUCAUCUCCCGUCAGAACAAUAUUUGUGUAUAUUCUUUAUAACCGCAGACACGUGAGAAACCACAAACAUUAUUUGCCAAUAUCAUAACUGGAGCUGGACAUCUUUGGAGCUGAAGAAUGACAGCUUUUGUAUGCUAAUGUACACUCCUUAACAGUUUUACUGGAUGAAAACACAGCAAGAAAACACAUAUGCUAAUAUGUAAUAGUCAUCUAUUUUAUUGCAGUAUUGGUCGUUAGUUCAACAACUUGUUUUACUAGAGGACAAAAAACUGAAUAUGCAUGCAGUGACUGAACAACAACUGCAUUUCCACCCCCACCUCUAAAGGCAUAGUAUCAUGGCAGGUCACCUGUCAGGUCAGUCAGUCACUUAUUGCUGCAGAUGUGCUCAAUAAUGCUUGAGCAUGUGAUACUCCUCAAAGCAUGGUGAAAUACAUAGAGGUGUAUCACAAGCUAGACACAUGUAUUUUGUCAUCUUCCUCUGCUUACUUCUCCUGGCGCCAGACAGGCAGACUUUGCAGUGCCUCCGUGUGCGACUACCUUGAGAAGCAGUUUGAGGGACUUUGCAGGGAAAAUGCCGUGCAGUGAGGCGUAGGGGAUUGUCUACAGCAGGACGACCCCCAGUGGAUGGGCGCCGAGGGGUGUGGUGCUCCUCCAGCAGCUCUCAUGAGGUUCUCUCUGUAUUUUUGGUAGGUAAUUACUUUACCUAUGAGGGAGUGGGGAGGACGAGGAAAGUUAGAGGAUGAUGAGGCAGUGGGUGGUCUACCUUCCCUGUGGCCGACAUGGUUGCUGUAUGGACAGUGGAGAGGACACGGACGUCUCGUUUGUCAUGUCACUUUACUG